UGGAAGGGAAGAAACAUGAAGUUGGUUAGAAAAGCAGCUUUUUACUCCUUUAUGGCUGUAUCUAUCCUGACAUUUUUCAGUCUAGAAUGAAGAGUUUCUGCAUGGUGAAUUUUGUCUUUUAGUUAUAUCAUUAUUCUCUGUUCUCUUUCUGAUUUAAUUGGUCUGGAUUGAGAUCUAGACAAGGGGCUUUUAAUUUAAGAUUUCCUGGAUGUUUCUAACCAUGCCAGUGUCAAAACCUAGUAAGGUCAAUCAGUUUUCCAAAGAGUUAUUUGUUACAUCAAAAUUUAGAAUUUGAUGGUUAUAGUUUUUAAAGUACAUUACAGAAAUAUGAAAGUAGCUCAUUGUUGUUGUUUCUCAAGAUAAGAAAGUCAUAAAGUAUGUAUUUAUUCAUAACCAGAUGCUCAUCCAUCUGAUACGGCUGGUCAGAUUUGCAAAAAUGGGGUACUAAUGACUGAGCUUAGACAGCCUUAGGCCAGAUCCUGAGACAAGAGAGGAAGGACAAAAGAGCAGAAAAUUUGGAAGACAGAAGGAUGUUAAGACAAAGAAUAAGACAGAGAGCAAAUAGUCUAGGAGAAAGGCCACAUUCUCUAGUGUUUUUGAUAGGGCAUACCGCCAAGGUAUUUAAAAACAAAGAAGAAUGUGGCAAGAUAGACAUUCUCUGUGGAAACAAAGGAGUCCCACUAAUUUUCCUCAUGGGUAGAUGGCCAAACUGACUCUCUGUAGAGAUGGACCAGUUUGAGUUACCUAUGAGGUGAAACUGUGGGUAUCGUAUCCACAUAUGGACAUCUAGCUAACUUGUAAGUAGGAGAGAAAGACUGAAAGGUGACUUUCACAAAGCGAGUGCUGCUCACACCAACCAGGAGGACAGUGGCUUCCACUAAUUACAGAGCUGUCUUGCUUCUGCUCCUAGAGGAAAGCUUGCCCUGAGGGAACAUUGAUAGAGAGGUCACUUAAAGCAGGAAGGUGGGUAAUUAAGAUCUCAGAGGCAUUUCUCUGUCAUUGGCUGGAAAGUCAUCGAUACACCACAGCUUUCUCUUCUACCGGGGUCUUGAGUUGGCAGUGCUGAGCUCUGGGAGGAUGGCAUUGAUGAGCGCCCUUCAGCGAGGCUGCUCUUGAAGAAAUGCAUGUUUCUAUCACUCUGCUAGGCAAGAACACAGGAGACACAGAGGAGUGGCCUUGUUGAUCAUGUUCUUUUUUGAGUUGGUUAAUCUACAGUUAAGGGCUUAACACCCAGAAUAAUCAUCCUGUUGGGGUAAAACUUGGCAAUUUAAAACUAAUAAACUGUGCUGAAAGAUGGGUAAUUAUCUUUCUGCAAUGGAUGACCAAAGCUUCUUGGACUAGCACUUUGUAGUACUGACUGCUUGUGCCUGCUUGCAAAGUUCUUUCCACUGUGUGCCCAAAGGGACUCUUCUUCCUGCAAAUGCCAUUCUUCAAUGUGCUGCCCAAGUGCUGCCUUUUGGGAUACAGACUAAUCUUUCUCCUGCAUAAGAAGCAACAUGAAUUAAUAUACCCUCCAUAGCUUGCAGUGGGGUUACAUCUGACACACCCACAUAAGCUGAAAUGUGGUGUACUAAAAAUCUACUUAGUGCACCCAACCUGCUGAACAUUAGCCUGGCAACAGGGUCCACCAUGAGUGUUGACUGGAUGUUUUCCUCACAAUCACUAGCUGAUGGAGAGCGGUGGCUCUCUGCCAUUGCCCAGCACCGACAAAGUGCUGCCCUUUAUACCCUUGGCUCUGGAAAAACAAAUCAAAAUUGAAAUUCCAAAGUACACUUCCUGCUGAUUGCAUAUUGCCUUUGGGUCCUUAUGGAGUUAAGAAGUUUUAAGUCAAGCUAAUGUCAGUCAGGUACCAUUUGCUCUGCCAUUUUCCUCAUGGCUCCAUAACUUUCUUGUGUGGUCUUGUUCUUUGUUCCAUAAUUCAAUGUCUGUCCCCUAAUCUAUCUAUCUGACUAUUAAAUUAGACAAGUUUGGAAAUUAAAUUAUUUUUAAGAGCAGUCUUUAGAGUUAGCUGUCCCUGGACACUAUUUCAUAAUUUAAUAUAACAAUAAAGACACUAAGUGAUCAACCUGUCUCUCCCUACUGGGAAACUUAUCUCAGACAUCUGUUUUCUAAGAAAGCUUGAAUAUCCUGUUAUGGGAGGAAGACAAGCAAUGUGACUAAAGGAUUCUAGAUCCAGAUGUUAAACCACAAGAGCUCUCUGGUUGCUGUACACAUGCUGAACUGUAGCUGUGGUAGAUACUCAGAGAGACAGGGGGUGGAGUGGAGACUGUAUAUUAUAUGCACACAUUCCCCAUCAACAUACUUAUUCUGAUGAGACCGUCUGUGGUUCAUAUUUAACAUCAGCUACACUAGUUUUUAAAAAGGCAUUAUCUCUCUCAUAGAUAUAUUUAUAUGAUCUUACUUAAAAUAAACACACUUAUCUAAAUUACAUACUGAUACAGGAAAGAAAGGAACACAGAGGAUACCUAGGAGGAAGCACUGGUCUCAGUUUGGAAAGGAGACAGGACAUCAAAGAGGGCUUCUGCGGAAAAGUACCAGAUUGGAUAUGUUCUGAAACCUGAAUCAUCAAUAACUCAAGAAAACUGACACAGCCAGGGUGUGGGUGUGAAGAGAAAGAGAAGGAAGCAGGGCUCAGAGCCAAGGAAGAACCUGCCAUUCACACUGCUGAAAGUGCGCACUGUGGCUGGAUCCUAGAGGUGGAGGAGGAAGAAGUGGCUGCAGAUUGCAUACAGCACCGCAUGACAGGCGCUUCUGAACUGCAGACAAGGGGGAAGUAUGGAUGGACUUUAAUCUGAUUGGAUGCUAGCGUUUUGUCCUUUUUCUUUUCCUCCCCACUUAAAAAAUUAUUUGUGUGUGUGCCUGAGUAAAUUUAUGUGCCUCAGAGACCAGGAGAGAGUGUUGGAUCUUCUGGAACUAGAGUUACAGGCAAUUGUUAGCACUUGAUGAAGGUGCUGGGAAUCCAGUCUGGGUCUUCUGCAAGAUCUUGCAGCAAGUGCUCUUAGCCCCUGAGCUGUCUGUCCAGGUCUUCUUUUCCUUUCAUAACAUAGACAUGAUAUAUGUUACAGAAUUGUUUGGAUAGAUUGCAUUUCCAUCUGAUUACUCAGUGGAAAGUUUGGAAACAGCUCAGUGAACUCUAAAGAAAAACACUUGAUUUACAAAUGAAACCCUGGGCCCAAGGAACUGAGAGCACAGUGAGUGUCACAGGGGGUCUCUGGUUUUGUUCAGGAAAACACUGUCAGUGAUUCCCCUCUUUUGGGGCUUCACAGGCUCCUCCACUUACCUACAGGAGGUAUUGUUGGAUGGGAUAAAGAAAGGAGCCAUUUUGCAUCUCUCUGAUGAAUGUGUCUCCUGGUUGCAGGUAAAUCAAGCUUACUGUGGCCAAGGCAUGAAAGAGGAGUUGUUAGCACAGUUGAUGGAGAUGGUGGGGUGAUGGACAUCAGGCAUUGUGAGCCAUCUUUCUGCAGUUGGCAGUGUUUCUCAAGUGCUGUUUUUAUGAAGAAGGAGGAGGAGGAGGAAGAGGAGACAGUCGUUGGCUUCUCUGAUACCUUUAGCUUCAUUGUGCUGAAGUAGAACUCCAACAAGAUUCACUAAGAAGGGUUCGUGGGACAACCUGGCAAGAAAGAGUAAUGACAACAGGGAAGUGAGAACAGCAGUUAAGGAAUACCUGCACCAAGGAAUAUGAGCAUUGGCGGGCUUUACACACUACCUGCUGUCUGUCUGUCUUCUCCCUUGCAAAGUACAGCCUGCAAAGACACCUAGGACCAAUACUUACUUCAGAGAAGAGGCCUGAAAAUGUGUAUUGUUGGCAAAUCCUGUGAUUCUUCUGGUGUGUAAACUGAGAAAUGCCUACAAAACAGUGCGGAACAUCCUCAGCCCACCCUGGCAUAAUCUGACUGACUUUGAUUCUACAGCCUCUCCUUCAAGUUGCCAAGUUCAGAAGAAGCUUCCAGCAAUAGCAGGCCACUGACUGUGCCUGGAAACACUGGGCACUUCACAUCUCCUGCCUUUACUGAAUGCCCGCUCCGUGCUCCUGUCCCUGUUUAGCAUUCUGGCCACUGUGUGCUUUUCUCCCCCGCAGCUGUGGCUGUGUUCACUUCCUCCUGUCCAUUUCCCUGACCUCUGAAACUGUAAGCCACCCAAUUAAAUAUUUUCCUUUAUAAAA